rnacentral:rRNA from 1 species
GACGAACGCUGGCGGCGUGCUUAACACAUGCAAGUCGAACGGAAAGGCCCUGCUUUUGUGGGGUGCUCGAGUGGCGAACGGGUGAGUAACACGUGAGUAACCUGCCCUUGACUUUGGGAUAACUUCAGGAAACUGGGGCUAAUACCGGAUAGGAGCUCCUGCUGCAUGGUGGGGGUUGGAAAGUUUCGGCGGUUGGGGAUGGACUCGCGGCUUAUCAGCUUGUUGGUGGGGUAGUGGCUUACCAAGGCUUUGACGGGUAGCCGGCCUGAGAGGGUGACCGGCCACAAUGGGACUGAGAGACGGCCCAGACUGCUACGGGAGGCAGCAGUGGGGAACAUUGCAGAAUGGGCGGAAGCCUGAUGCAGCAACGCCGCGUGCGGGAUGACGGCCUUCGGGUUGUAAACCGCUUUCGCCUGUGACGAAGCGGGAGUGACGGUAAUGGGUAAAGAAGCACCGGCUAACUACGUG